rnacentral:tRNA from 1 species
AGCCCCAUAGUACAGCGGUCAAGUAUACAGCCCUUUGGAGGCUGUGACCCCGGUUCGAAUCCGGGUGGGGCUA